rnacentral:rRNA from 1 species
CAUUCACGGAGAGUUUGAUCCUGGCUCAGGACGAACGCUGGCGGCGUGCUUAACACAUGCAAGUCGAACGAUGAACCACUUCGGUGGGGAUUAGUGGCGAACGGGUGAGUAACACGUGGGCAAUCUGCCCUUCACUCUGGGACAAGCCCUGGAAACGGGGUCUAAUACCGGAUAACACUGCGGAUCGCAUGGUCUGCGGUUAAAAGCUCCGGCGGUGAAGGAUGAGCCCGCGGCCUAUCAGCUUGUUGGUGAGGUAAUGGCUCACCAAGGCGACGACGGGUAGCCGGCCUGAGAGGGCGACCGGCCACACUGGGACUGAGACACGGCCCAGACUCCUACGGGAGGCAGCAGUGGGGAAUAUUGCACAAUGGGCGAAAGCCUGAUGCAGCGACGCCGCGUGAGGGAUGACGGCCUUCGGGUUGUAAACCUCU